GUGGGUAUAGCACGAUGGUAGAGUGCCUGCUUAGCAUGCAUGAGGCCCUGGGUUCAAUCCCCAGUAUCUCCA
rnacentral:tRNA from 1 species